rnacentral:rRNA from 1 species
AACGAACGCUGGCGGCAUGCCUAACACAUGCAAGUCGAACGGGAUCCGGACUUCGGUCCGGUGAGAGCGGCGGACGGGUGAGUAACACGUGGGAACCUGCCUUUUGGUUCGGGAUAACCGCGGGAAACUGCGGCUAAUACCGGAUGCUCCCGAGAGGGAAAAGAUUUAUCGCCAGAAGAGGGGCCCGCGUCCGAUUAGGUAGUUGGUGGGGUAAUGGCCUACCAAGCCGACGAUCGGUAGCUGGUCUGAGAGGAUGAUCAGCCACACUGGGACUGAGAUACGGCCCAGACUCCUACGGGAGGCAGCAGUGGGGAAUAUUGGACAAUGGGGGCAACCCUGAUCCAGCAAUGCCGCGUGAGUGAUGAAGGCCUUAGGGUUGUAAAGCUCUUUUGCCAGGGAAGAUGAUGACUGUACCUGGAGAAUAAGCCCCGGCUAACUUCGUGCCAGCAGCCGCGGUAAU